rnacentral:rRNA from 1 species
GACGAACGCUGGCGGCGUGCUUAACACAUGCAAGUCGAACGGGCCUUGUCCCCUUUUUUUUUGGGGGUGGGGUUAGUGGCGAACGGGUGAGUAACACGUGAGUAACCUGCCCCUCACUUCUGGAUAACCGCUUGAAGGGGUGGCUAAUACGGGGUGUUCUGGCCUGCUCGCAUGGGUGGGUUUGGAAAGAUUCGACCGGUUUUGGUUGUUUUGGUGGGGGAUGGGCUCGCGGCCUAUCAGCUUGUUGGUGGGGUGAUGGCCUGCCAAGGCUUUGACGGGUAGCCGGCCUGAGAGGGUGGGCGGUCACACGGGGACUGAGACACGGCCCAGACUCCUACGGGAGGCAGCAGUGGGGAAUAUUGCACAAUGGGCGCAAGCCUGAUGCAGCGACGCCGCGUGAGGGAUGGAGGCCUGCGGGUUGUGAACCUCUUUCGCCAGUGAAGAAGGUCCUGCUCUUUGUGGUGGGGUUGACGGUAGCUGGGUUAAUGAAGCGCCGGCUAACUACGUG